rnacentral:rRNA from 1 species
UACGUAGGGAGCGAGCGUUGUCCGGAUUCAUUGGGCGUAAAGCGCGCGUAGGCGGUUUGGUAAGUCGGAUGUGAAAAUCCGGGGCUCAACCCCGGACCUGCAUCCGAUACUGCCCGACUAGAGGUAGGUAGGGGAGAUCGGAAUUCCUGGUGUAGCGGUGAAAUGCGCAGAUAUCAGGAGGAACACCGGUGGCGAAGGCGGAUCUCUGGGCCUUACCGGACGCUGAGGCGCGAAAGCGAGGGGAGCGAACAGG